rnacentral:rRNA from 1 species
UACGAAGGGGGCUAGCGUUGCUCGGAAUUACUGGGCGUAAAGCGCACGUAGGCGGCUCUUUAAGUCGGAGGUGAAAUCCUGGAGCUCAACUCCAGAACUGCCUUCGAUACUGAAGAGCUCGAGUCCGGGAGAGGUGAGUGGAAUUCCUGGUGUAGCGGUGAAAUGCGUAGAUAUGCGGAGGAACACCGAUGGCGAAGGCAAUCCCCUGGGCCUGCACUGACGCUCAUGCACGAAAGCGUGGGGAGCAAACAGG